CUUGAAAGAAAGAAAGGAAGAAAGAAAGAAAUUUAACUACUUUAUAUUAAAGAAGUGUCUAUUUUCUCUAUCUUCAGAUUUUUGAAAUUUUACUUGUUUAUCAUUAUUUGAAUACAAAAGAAGUAUCUGCUCAUUAAAAAUGUAAGUAACACAGAAAAGACACUGUAAGACACAGAACAGGAAAUUUCUCACAAUUCCAUCCUCCUGAGAUGACCACUGUCGAAAACUACCUGGUGUUGAUUUUAAAUACCACCAUUUACAAAGUUACUCCUGCAAAAGAGAAAUGUAAAAUAUUAAUAACAGAAUACAGAAGUAAAGAUUUUCUGGAAAACUGACCACUGCAAGUUAAAGAAACCGAUUAUGAUCAUAGACUAAGGAAGGAAUCGAACCCCUUGCGGGCUUAUUUAAGGAAUGCUUUCUUGGAGUCCUUAUGUCAAGAUGACUUGAAGGUACAGCUUCUGGGCCACUGGGAGUUGACUGAAAGUGUGUGAUGUCAAAGAUGUCCCUUUCCUUAACUAGCUUGGAGACUGCUGCCAAGACAGAGGGGUGGGCUGAUCCAGAAUAAAGAUUUGGCCAGCUGAGAACCUGUUACCAUGGUGACUUGACUCAUCAUCUAUCAAUCAGCUUGACUGGAGCCUACCUUCCUGUAGCCAGAAUGAACUAUUUUUAAAACCUCAUGUCUAUUUUUGAAGAACCAUCUGUUAAAUUUGUGCUUUGUCCAACUCUAGGAAUGUAAAAAUUCAUUCAUAGCCAGACUUCUUUGCUUCAAAUUUAUUUCUUUCCAUGAACAAAAUUCUUUUGCUUGAAACUACAUUUGAUCCAGAUCAGAAAACACUGACACCUGUUUAUGCCACAAGCAGAGGUGAGAAUGGCAUUGUUUGGCCACCAAGAAGCUUGUAGUCAAAAGAUAUGAACAUAAGUAAUGAUAGUCAGAGCUGAAUAUAAUAAAUUCCUCCAAAG
rnacentral:lncRNA from 1 species